CCUACGGGUGGCAGCAGUGGGGAAUAUUGGACAAUGGGCUAAAGCCUGAUCCAGCCAUGCCGCGUGUGUGAAGAAGGCCUUCGGGUUGUAAAGCACUUUCAGUGGGGAAGAAAGCCUUGGGGCUAAUACCCUCGAGGAAGGACAUCACCCACAGAAGAAGCACCGGCUAACUCCGUGCCAGCAGCCGCGGUAAUACGGAGGGUGCGAGCGUUAAUCGGAAUUACUGGGCGUAAAGCGCGCGUAGGCGGUCUGAUAAGCCGGUUGUGAAAGCCCCGGGCUCAACCUGGGAACGGCAUCCGGAACUGUCAGGCUAGAGUGCAGGAGAGGAAGGUAGAAUUCCCGGUGUAGCGGUGAAAUGCGUAGAGAUCGGGAGGAAUACCAGUGGCGAAGGCGGCCUUCUGGACUGACACUGACGCUGAGGUGCGAAAGCGUGGGUAGCAAACAGGAUUAGAUACCCUGGUAGUC
rnacentral:rRNA from 1 species